AGACCCGAAACCCGGUGAUCUAGCCAUGGGCAGGUUGAAGGUUGGGUAACACUAACUGGAGGACCGAACCGACUAAUGUUGAAAAAUUAGCGGAUGACCUGUGGCUGGGGGUGAAAGGCCAAUCAAACCGGGAGAUAGCUGGUUCUCCCCGAAAGCUAUUUAGGUAGCGCCUCGUGAAUUCAUCUCCGGGGGUAGAGCACUGUUUCGGCUAGGGGGCCAUCCCGGCUUACCAACCCGAUGCAAACUGCGAAUACCGGAGAAUGUUAUCACGGGAGACACACGGCGGGUGCUAACGUCCGUCGUGAAGAGGGAAACAACCCAGACCGCCAGCUAAGGUCCCAAAGUCAUGGUUAAGUGGGAAACGAUGUGGGAAGGCCCAGACAGCCAGGAUGUUGGCUUAGAAGCAGCCAUCAUUUAAAGAAAGCGUAAUAGCUCACUGGUCGAGUCGGCCUGCGCGGAAGAUGUAACGGGGCUAAACCAUGCACCGAAGCUGCGGCAGCGAACGUAUCACCCAAGACAACUUUACGGAGUUGACGAUUGACGGAGCGAAGCGACGUCAAAGCGUUCAUUAAAGUCGAGUUGGCUUAGGGAUACGUUCGUUGGGUAGGGGAGCGUUCUGUAAGCCUGUGAAGGUGUGUCGUGAGGCAUGCUGGAGGUAUCAGAAGUGCGAAUGCUGACAUAAGUAACGAUAAAGCGGGUGAAAAGCCCGCUCGCCGGAAGACCAAGGGUUCCUGUCCAACGUUAAUCGGGGCAGGGUGAGUCGACCCCUAAGGCGAGGCCGAAAGGCGUAGUCGAUGGGAAACGGGUUAAUAUUCCCGUACUUGGUGUUACUGCGAAGGGGGGACGGAGAAGGCUAUGUUGGCCGGGCGACGGUUGUCCCGGUUUAAGCGUGUAGGUGUGUGUUCCAGGUAAAUCCGGUUCACUUUAACACUGAGGCGUGACGACGAGGCACUACGGUGCUGAAGCAACAAAUGCCCUGCUUCCAGGAAAAGCCUCUAAGCAUCAGGUAACACGAAAUCGUACCCCAAACCGACACAGGUGGUCAGGUAGAGAAUACCAAGGCGCUUGAGAGAACUCGGGUGAAGGAACUAGGCAAAAUGGUGCCGUAACUUCGGGAGAAGGCACGCUGACACGUAGGUGAAGUGAUUUACUCAUGGAGCUGAAGUCAGUCGAAGAUACCAGCUGGCUGCAACUGUUUAUUAAAAACACAGCACUGUGCAAACACGAAAGUGGACGUAUACGGUGUGACGCCUGCCCGGUGCCGGAAGGUUAAUUGAUGGGGUCAGCGUAAGCGAAGCUCCUGAUCGAAGCCCCGGUAAACGGCGGCCGUAACUAUAACGGUCCUAAGGUAGCGAAAUUCCUUGUCGGGUAAGUUCCGACCUGCACGAAUGGCGUAAUGAUGGCCAGGCUGUCUCCACCCGAGACUCAGUGAAAUUGAACUCGCUGUGAAGAUGCAGUGUACCCGCGGCAAGACGGAAAGACCCCGUGAACCUUUACUAUAGCUUGACACUGAACAUUGAGCCUUGAUGUGUAGGAUAGGUGGGAGGCUUUGAAGUGUGGACGCCAGUCUGCAUGGAGCCGACCUUGAAAUACCACCCUUUAAUGUUUGAUGUUCUAACGUGGACCCGUAA
rnacentral:rRNA from 4 species